GACGAACGCUGGCGGCGUGCUUAACACAUGCAAGUCGAACGGAAAGGCCCUGCUUUUGUGGGGUGCUCGAGUGGCGAACGGGUGAGUAACACGUGAGUAACCUGCCCUUGACUUUGGGAUAACUUCAGGAAACUGGGGCUAAUACCGGAUAGGAGCUCCUGCUGCAUGGUGGGGGUUGGAAAGUCUCGGCGGUUGGGGAUGGACUCGCGGCUUAUCAGCUUGUUGGUGGGGUAGUGGCUUACCAAGGCUUUGACGGGUAGCCGGCCUGAGAGGGUGACCGGCCACAUUGGGACUGAGAUACGGCCCAGACUCCUACGGGAGGCAGCAGUGGGGAAUAUUGCACAAUGGGCGGAAGCCUGAUGCAGCAACGCCGCGUGCGGGAUGACGGCCUUCGGGUUGUAAACCGCUUUCACCUGUGACGAAGCGUGAGUGACGGUAAUGGGUAAAGAAGCACCGGCUAACUACGUG
rnacentral:rRNA from 1 species